GCCUGCUGGUUAUUGGGGAACUACACUUCCCACAAUCCCUGACAUUUAAAACAUCACUUCUCGUCACGUGAUGAUUGUGGCGCGUCUAGUUUUCCCGUCUGGCUGUGGUGCGUUAUUGUGGGACCAGCGUGAGAAAUAACGAUGAAUCCUACAAUAAGCCCAGGAUCACCAUCAGCUGUUUCUUCUGGGCAUUUUUUGCACUGCUCUGUGUUGUCAAGGAAUAUGGGCUGUAGCCACAACAUCAUCCCAAGCUGGGAACGCGAUGUGCCAUGCACAAUUCCACGGAUGAAACCCAGACACAGAUUGGUGAAUUUCAGGAGUGUAAAAAGGUGCCAGUCAGUAUCCCUUGCUUUCAAGCGACACCUGGAAAGCAAAGAUCAGGAACCCAGCUCUAAACAUUUUCUGUCAGAGGAGAAGAUGGCUGCCCGUUUUAACUCCCUUAGCCUGGACAACGACCACAUCUACAGUUCUAACGGUUUCCCUGUUCACAGUGAAAACCCCAGAUGGCAGCAGGCAUACACACAGUUGAAAGAGUUACAACGGAGGCUAUCUCAAGAUGGGGCAAGUGAAGAAACCAACUCUACAGAAGAAGAGCUGACCACAGUCAUUGUAGACGGUGAAUUCAUGAUGGGAGACUGCCCUAUGCUGGUGCCAUCUUCCUUCUCGUUAGGACUCGAAGGAAGCAGCAUUGCCCCUGAAGAAAUGUUUCUUUCUCUGAAUCCUUGUACCGAAGUUGUCCUGUGGAGCCCACACAGUAAGUCCCUCUUGCACACUAUCAGGACACUGAUAGCUCCCUCAUCGGUCCAGCCCCAUCUAGAAGCAGUGGCAAACCAAGAGGAAAUGGAAAUAUGAAUCAACAACCCCAAUUUUACUUCCCUUUGAAAUCAAAUUCACUUCUCUGUCUGGCUGUGUCUUUCAACAAAAAGCACCUUUAUCCAGUCAGUAUAAAUAUUUCACAAAAAUAUUUUAUUCCACCAUGGUGGCAUUCGUCAUUUUCAGCCAGCUGCAAUAAUCUGAUCCUUUCUCUUCCAUCCACAUAAUGUACAGUAUAUCUGCAACUAAGUCAUACACACACAUACACACACCUCACUAUAUUUUCUCUUUCAAUAAGCAAUCAGCAAAUAGUUCCCAGGACAUUGUAAUAUACUUUUAAAUGUUAAAUGAGCAUUCUAACCACUUCUUUUAUACUUUAUUAGCACUGAAGUCAGAUUUUUAAUGUCCAUCAAAGUUGGAAGAAUUUUUCUGGAGGUAAACCGGAAUGACAGAAUGGUACCCCAAUUAUAGCUGCAAAGGUUAUGAAGUCCUUUUUCAAACUCAAGACGUGGACAGUUGGCUAUUUUCUCCCAACAUCUGGAUUGAAGGACAGGGCUAAUGAAGAGAUAGAAAACUCUCCAAAUUCUAAGAAAAGAGCAAUGCAGCUUGGUCCUAAACCAUUCCUACCUAGGGUAAUCAGAGCAAGCCUAAAGAGAGAUGAGAAGGAAAACUCCCAAUACUAUCGGCUGGGAAAUUCUGACACAUUUACUUGUGUUUCUUCCAUUUCCUUCUAUUAUUAUUUAAACUGAGGCACAGCUCCAGAGCAUGAAAGAGCUUGCUCCAAAAUAAUCUAAUGCCCACCUUCUCCCUCAUCCUGCAGCCUUCUUACUGUGACUUAAAUUUGAACACUGGUUGUAUUCUAGCUAUCAGACCACAAGUGAAGAAAUAAAAUACAAUGAGUAAGCAAA